rnacentral:rRNA from 1 species
GAGCGGCGAACGGGUGAGUAACACGUGGGUGAUCUGCCCUGCACUUCGGGAUAAGCCUGGGAAACUGGGUCUAAUACCGGAUAUGACCAAAGGCUGCAUGGCUUUUGGUGGAAAGGUUUACUGGUGCAGGAUGGGCCCGCGGCCUAUCAGCUUGUUGGUGGGGUAAUGGCCUACCAAGGCGACGACGGGUAGCCGACCUGAGAGGGUGACCGGCCACACUGGGACUGAGACACGGCCCAGACUCCUACGGGAGGCAGCAGUGGGGAAUAUUGCACAAUGGGCGAAAGCCUGAUGCAGCAGACGCCGCGUGAGGGAUGACGGCCUUCGGGUUGUAAACCUCUUUCAGCAGGGACGAAGCGCAAGUGACGGUACCUGCAGAAGAAGCACCGGCCAACUACGUGCCAGCAGCCGCGGUAAUACGUAGGGUGCGAGCGUUGUCCGGAAUUACUGGGCGUAAAGNAGCUCGUAGGCGGUUUGUCGCGUCGUCUGUGAAAACCAGCAGCUCAACUGCUGGCUUGCAGGCGAUACGGGCAGACUUGAGUACUGCAGGGGNAGACUGGAAUUCCU